rnacentral:rRNA from 1 species
GGACCCGCACAAGCGGUGGAGCAUGUGGUUUAAUUCGAAGAUACACGAAGAACCUUACCUGGGCUUGAUAUCCUAAGAAUCCUGUAGAGAUAUGGGAGUGCUAGUUUACUAGAACUUAGAGACAGGUGCUGCACGGCUGUCGUCAGCUCGUGUCGUGAGAUGUUGGGUUAAGUCCCGCAACGAGCGCAACCCUCGUGAUUAGUUGCUAACAGUUCGGCUGAGCACUCUAAUCAGACUGCCUUCGCAAGGAGGAGGAAGGUGAGGACGACGUCAAGUCAUCAUGGCCCUUAUGCCCAGGGCUACACACGUGCUACAAUGGCUAGGACAAAGAGAAGCGAUACUGCGAAGUGGAGCAAAUCUUAAAACCUAGUCUCAGUUCGGAUUGGAGUCUGCAACUCGACUCCAUGAAGCUGGAAUCGCUAGUAAUCGUAGAUCAGAUAUGCUACGGUGAAUACGUUCCCGGGUCUU